rnacentral:rRNA from 1 species
CCUACGGGAGGCAGCAGUGAGGAAUCUUGGUCAAUGGACGCAAGUCUGAACCAGCCAUGCCGCGUGCAGGAAGACGGCUCUAUGAGUUGUAAACUGCUUUUGUACGAGGGUAAACGCAGAUACGUGUAUCUGUCUGAAAGUAUCGUACGAAUAAGGAUCGGCGAACUCCGUGCCAGCAGCCGCGGUAAUACGGAGGAUUCAAGCGUUAUCCGGAUUUAUUGGGUUUAAAGGGUGCGUAGGCGGUCGGAUAAGUUAGAGGUGAAAUCCCGAGGCUCAACUUCGGAAUUGCCGCUGAUACUGUUCGGCUAGAGAGAAGUUGCGGUAGGCGGAAUGUAUGGUGUAGCAGUGAAAUGCUUAGAGAUCAUACAGAACACCGAUUGCGAAGGCAGCUUACCAAGCUACUUCUGACGUUGAGGCACGAAAGCGUGGGGAGCAAACAGGAUUAGAUACCCCAGUAGUC